UACGGAGGAUGCGAGCGUUAUCCGGAUUUAUUGGGUUUAAAGGGUGCGUAGGCGGGCUUUUAAGUCAGCGGUAAAAAUUCGGGGCUCAACCCCGUCCGGCCGUUGAAACUGGGGGUCUUGAGUGGGCGAGAAGAAGGCGGAAUGCGUGGUGUAGCGGUGAAAUGCAUAGAUAUCACGCAGAACCCCGAUUGCGAAGGCAGCCUUCCGACGCCCUACUGACGCUGAGGCACGAAAGUGCGGGGAUCGAACAGG
rnacentral:rRNA from 1 species